AUUGAACGCUGGCGGCAGGCUUAACACAUGCAAGUCGAGCGAGCGGCGGACGGGUGAGUAAUGUAUGGGGAACUGCCUGAUGGAGGGGGAUAACUACUGGAAACGGUGGCUAAUACCGCAUACUAUCGGAUGUGCCCAUAUGGGAUUAGCUAGUAGGUGGGGUAAUGGCUCACCUAGGCGACGAUCCCUAGCUGGUCUGAGAGGAUGAACAGCCACACUGGGACUGAGACACGGCCCAGACUCCUACGGGAGGCAGCAGUGGGGAAUAUUGCACAAUGGGCGCAAGCCUGAUGCAGCCAUGCCGCGUGUGUGAAGAAGGCCUUAGGGUUGUAAAGUACUUUCAGCGAGGAGGCGUUACUCGCAGAAGAAGCACCGGCUAACUCCGUGCCAGCAGCCGCGGUAAUUC
rnacentral:rRNA from 1 species